AUUGAACGCUGGCGGCAGGCCUAACACAUGCAAGUCGAACGGUAGCACAGAGAGCUUGCUCUCGGGUGACGAGUGGCGGACGGGUGAGUAAUGUCUGGGAAACUGCCUGAUGGAGGGGGAUAACUACUGGAAACGGUAGCUAAUACCGCAUAACGUCGCAAGACCAAAGAGGGGGACCUUCGGGCCUCUUGCCAUCAGAUGUGCCCAGACGGGAUUAGCUAGUAGGUGGGGUAACGGCUCACCUAGGCGACGAUCCCUAGCUGGUCUGAGAGGAUGACCAGCCACACUGGAACUGAGACACGGUCCAGACUCCUACGGGAGGCAGCAGUGGGGAAUAUUGCACAAUGGGCGCAAGCCUGAUGCAGCCAUGCCGCGUGUAUGAAGAAGGCCUUCGGGUUGUAAAGUACUUUCAGCGGGGAGGAAGGCGAUAAGGUUAAUAACCUUGUCGAUUGACGUUACCCGCAGAAGAAGCACCGGCUAACUCCGUGCCAGCAGCCGCCGUAA
rnacentral:rRNA from 1 species